CGUCACAUUAGUUAGUUGGUGGGGUAAAGGCCUACCAAGACUAUGAUGUGUAGCCGGGCUGAGAGGUUGAACGGCCACAUUCGGGACUGAGACACGGCCCAAACUCCUACGGGAGGCAGCAGUAGGGAAUUUUCGGCAAUGGAGGAAACUCUGACCGAACAACGCCCGCGUGGAACGAUGAAGUAUUUCGGUACGUAAAGUUCUUUUAUUAGGGAAGAAUAAAUGAUGGAAAAAUCAUUCUGACGGUACCUAAUGAAUAAGCCCCGGCUAACUAUGUGCCAGCAGCCGCGGUAAUACAUAGGGGGCAAGCGUUAUCCGGAAUUAUUGGGCGUAAAGGGUGCGUAGGCGGUUAAAUAAGUUUAUGGUCUAAGUGCAAUGCUCAACAUUGUGAUGCUAUAAAAACUGUUUAGCUAGAGUAAGAUAGAGGCAAGUGGAAUUCCAUGUGUAGUGGUAAAAUGCGUAAAUAUAUGGAGGAACACCAGUAGCGAAGGCGGCUUGCUGGGUCUUUACUGACGCUGAGGCACGAAAGCGUGGGGAGCAAACAGGAUUAGAUACCCUGGUAGUCCACGCCGUAAACGAUGAGUACUAAACGUUGGGUAAAACCAGUGUUGAAGUUAACACAUUAAGUACUCCGCCUGAGUAGUACGUACGCAAGUAUGAAACUUAAAGGAAUUGACGGGACUCCGCACAAGCGGUGGAUCAUGUUGUUUAAUUCGAAGGUACCCGAAAAACCUCACCAGGUCUUGACAUGCUUCUGCAAAGCUGUAGAAACACAGUGGAGGUUAUCAGUUGCACAGGUGGUGCAUGGUUGUCGUCAGCUCGUGUCGUGAGAUGUUGGGUUAAGUCCCGCAACGAGCGCAACCCUUAUUGUUAGUUACCAGCACGUAAUGGUGGGGACUUUAGCAAGACUGCCAGUGAUAAAUUGGAGGAAGGUGGGGACGACGUCAAAUCAUCAUGCCCCUUAUGACCUGGGCUACAAACGUGAUACAAUGGCUGUUACAAAGGGUAGCUGAAGCGCAAGUUUUUGGCGAAUCUCAAAAAAACAGUCUCAGUUCGGAUUGAAGUCUGCAACUUGACUUCCAGAAGUUGGAAUCGCUAGGAAACGCGAAUUCACGGCC
rnacentral:rRNA from 1 species